rnacentral:rRNA from 1 species
CCUACGGGAGGCAGCAGUAGGGAAUAUUGCUCAAUGGGGGAAACCCUGAAGCAGCAACGCCGCGUGGAGGAUGAAGGUUCUCGGAUUGUUAACCCCCUUUGUUAGAGAAGAAAAUGACGGUACCUAACGAAUAAGCACCGGCUAACUCAGUGCCAGCAGCCGCGGUAAUACGGAGGGUGGAAGCGUUACUCGGAAUCAAUGGGGGUAAAGAGCGCGUAGGCGGGAUAGCAAGGCAGAUGUGAAUACCUAUGGCUUAACCAUAGAACUGCAUUUGAAACUGGUAUUCUAGAGUGUGGGAGAGGUAUGCGGAAUGCGUGGUGUAGGGGUAAAAUGCGUAGAGAUCAAGCAGAACACUCAUUGCGAAGGCAGCCUACUGGAACAUAACUGACGCUGAUGCACGAAAGCGUGGGGAUCGAACAGGAUUAGAUACCCGUGUAGUC